AUGUUACAGACGAAAAUCUCAGUGGGCGUAAACCAUUUUGAGUCACCAACCAAUCACAAACAUGUUUUCCAAAAACAUUUGAAUUCAAUUCGAAAAUGUUUUCACAAAACAUUCGAAAACACUGUUUCGUUUGUUAUUGGUUGAUGUCUCAAAAUAGUUAACAUCCACUGAGAUUUUCGUCUCAUUCGAUGAGAGCAGUUUGAGGUUUUCGAUUAACUCACCGAUUUCCUUUAUUCUCUCAUCGGCACAAUCUUUAGAUUGUUCCA